rnacentral:rRNA from 1 species
UGGGGAACUUUCCGCAAUGGGCGAAAGCCUGACGGAGCAAUGCCGCGUGGAGGUGGAAGGCCUACGGGUCGUCAACUUCUUUUCUCGGAGAAGAAACAAUGACGGUAUCUGAGGAAUAAGCAUCGGCUAACUCUGUGCCAG